AUGGCUUUAGAGUCUUCCUGGUAAAACCUUCACUGAUGCUUUCAUUUCUGACGAUUAAACAAACUCAGAUAGUCUGAGGAGUGUGUUUCGUAUGAUAUUGGACUUUCACCAAGAGGUCCACACCCAAAAGUUGAAUCUGUGUAAGCAGAUCUAGCAUCAAAUCUUUUGUCAGUUCAACUUUACAGAAUCAACGGUAGUUUCCUGUCACACGGACAUACUGAGAGAUACAAGGCCGUAUUAAAUUCCUCCAUCCCGCAAUGGCUAGCCAUGGUAUGAAGAGAAAACGUGAUGAGGAUCAAUCAGAUUCAAGUAACAGGUUUCACAGUUCACAGCUACAACUGACAGCAGGCAAGUAAUUCAUGAAUUUGUCCAUUUCUAACUGUUCCAUUAAAUUGUGUAAAAAAAAAAAUUAUUUAAUUUCAGAAAAUUAGGAUGUAACAAAGUUCAUAGCUAUGGGAAAAAGGAGUAAGGGAAUAUUUAAACAAAACUUUA